GUGCAAUCACCGAAGUUAAGCAACAUCAAGCCUGGUCAGUACUUAGAUGGGUGAACACUUGAGAAUACCAGGUGCUGUAA